rnacentral:lncRNA from 1 species
CACCUUGUCCUUCCGUUCCGGGUAGCCAUGCGACUGCAAGAGCAUCGAUCAUGUCCAUGUAAGGCUCGAUCACGAGCGGACGUCCUGUGACUAGGACCACCAUACACUUCAUCCCACUACCACACGUGUGCUUGAGCGUGUCUGGGCCUGGUCCAUAUAGACCGAGCGUUUUGCUGUCCCCGUUCGACUCUGCGUAAGGAAGUUCUCCCACGACCACAAUUGUGUAUG